rnacentral:tRNA from 1 species
GAACUGUGCCUGAAGUAAAGGACCACUUUGAUAGAGUGUAUCAGGAGGGUUAAACCCCCUCCAGCUCCU